rnacentral:lncRNA from 1 species
CUGGGGACCGGUUCGACCGAUUUCAGUUGGCUCAUUACGUGGCUGACUCCCAUUCUCACUCCUCUGUUAGUAAUAGGACUUCUAUUAAUGGUCGCUCCCUGCCUCCUCAGGUUCGCCUAAAAGUACAUGAGUGAAAUCACCAGAGUGACCUACUACCAGAUGCUCCUACACUCCUACAGUCGCCUCCCCACCAAACUGACACCCUUCCAGAACCUCUAGCCAGCAGGAAGUAGCCAGAUGGAAUUUGGCACCCUAUAUCAUCAAAAAGGCCAGGAUGCUAGGUAUGUUGAGGGGGCUAAGGGAUCAAAGCACCAGGCAACAACCAAUCAGGGGCCAACAGAAAGCAGUGAUAGUCGCCUGUCAAUCAGUGGGGUCUCCUGACUGAUCCUGGAAGGACAUGGAGCUCAGCAAGAUCCUCUGACCAACCCCAGGAGGACAAGGGACCCUAAAAACCUCCCUUUCCUGUCUCAAGCCCUCCCUUCCUUCCCUGAGCCUGAUAAAUUUACGAUCCAUCUGAGCCUGGGUACGACUUCCCUGGACCCCCUCGGUUGGACUAGAGGUUCUCACCCAGGAGCGAACCUCAAUAAAGCCUUGUUCAGCAGCUUUUAAUCUGCCUCCUCUUGGUCACUGGUGCCUGACCUUACACCACUAAUUUAUGUGAGAUGCCUUUGAUUCAUUGUAAGACUCC